rnacentral:rRNA from 1 species
UGACCAGGGCUACACACGUACUACAAUGGCCGGUACAAAGGGCAGCGACACAGCGAUGUGAAGCCAAUACCCGAAAAGCCGGUCUCAGUCCGGAUUGGAGUCUGCAACUCGACUCCAUGAAGUUGGAAUCGCUAGUAAUCGCGGAUCAGCACGCCGCGGUGAAUACGUUCCCGGGCCGUU